rnacentral:rRNA from 1 species
UGGGGAAUUUUCCGCAAUGGGCGCAAGCCUGACGGAGCAAUACCGCGUGAGGGAGGAAGGCUUUUGGGUUGUAAACCUCUUUUCUCAAGGAAGAAGCACUGACGGUACUUGAGGAAUCAGCAUCGGCUAACUCCGUGCCAGCAGCCGCGGUAAUACGGAGGAUGCAAGCGUUAUCCGGAAUUAUUGGGCGUAAAGCGUCCGUAGGCGGCUUAGUAAGUCAACUGUUAAAGACCGGGGCUUAACCCUGGGAGUGCAGUUGAAACUGCUAGGCUUGAGCGUGGUAGGGGUAGAGGGAAUUCCUAGUGUAGCGGUGAAAUGCGUAGAUAUUAGGAAGAACACCAGUGGCGAAGGCGCUCUACUGGGCCAUGACUGACGCUGAUGGACGAAAGCUAGGGGAGCGAAAGGGAUUAGAUACCCCCGUAGUCC